rnacentral:antisense_RNA from 1 species
UCUUAAGAUAUUUGCCCAUAUGAAAUACAAAGUUAGGGGCACCUAACUAUUUUCAUAAGAUUACACGAUCCCGGACAGGACUCUUUAACGCCAUGCACGGCGAUAGCAAAAUCUCCACUCUCAAUAAGACUUUCCUCUUUCGCAAGUGCUAGGGCAUUAGAUAUUACAACUUCACUAUGAUGGAUUGAGUUUAAGACAUAAGUCUUAACACCUCUUGCAAUCUUUAGCCCUCUGGCUACCUCAGGUUUAGCUGUGCAUGCAAUAAUGGUUUGACUUGGCCUGUAUUUUGAAAUGAGUCUUGCAGUAUUCCCUGUUUCUGUGAUUGUGAUGAUUAAUUUUGCAUUUACGUCAUGGGCAGACUCAACUGCAGAACAAGCAAUGGCUUCAGGGACAGCAACAGGCUUUGGAACUGAGGAAUGUAUUGCGUGGUAUAACACUGGAUAAUCAAUACAUGUCUCAGCUUGGGCACAUACUCUGGACAUUACAUUUACUGCGUCAAAUGGAAAUGCUCCAUUUGCAGUUUCUCCAGAUAGCAUAACACAAUCUGAACCAUCUAAAACAGCGUUUGCAACAUCAGUCAUUUCUGCCCUUGUUGGCCUAUUACUCUUAAUCAUGCUUUCAAGCAUUUGAGUUGCAGUAACAACAGGCUUACCUGCAACAUUGCAUUUGGAAAUCAUACAUUUCUGAGCAACGAAUAUUUUUUCUGGAGGAAUUUCCAUACCCAGGUCACCUCUUGCAACCAUGAUACCGUCUGACUCGCUGCAAAUACUAUCGAAGUUGAUCACACCUUCCAAGUUUUCAAUUUUAGAAAUAAUCUUUAUUGAGCUUGGGAUUCCAUUGGAGUAUUGCGUAUUUUCAGAAAUAAUUUGCCUACAUAGUUGCACAUCAGCUCCAUUCUGCACGAAGGAAAGAGCAAUAAAAUCCAAGUUGUACUUAAGGGCAAAGUCCACAAUGUCAUGUCUAUCUUUAUCCCCAAUUAUUGGUAAGUGGACCUUACAACCUGGUAGAUUCAUAUUUUUCCUUUCACCGAUAGUUACGCUAUUCAAUACCUUGCAGACAAUGAAAUCAUCGCCAAUUUCUAGCACUUGAGUCGAUAACGAGCCAUCAGCAAUUAAAACAGUACUUCCAAUUUGUACACUUUUAGGUAAUAGAGAAUAGCUACACGAUAUACAUUCGGAGUUACCUAACAUAGAGUAAUCUGUUGUAAUUUUUAAAGUUUGGCCUGCCUUCAAUUCAAUGGGCUUUCCACCUUCCAACAUUCCGGUUCUGAUCUCUGGGCCUUUAGUAUCUAGCAUUAUCCCAACGGUAGAGUGAGGUCUUGCUUUAGCUGCCUCCCUGAUAUUUUGUAAAGUCUUGAAGUGACUCUCAUGAUCGCCAUGGGAAAAGUUAAGUCUAGCAACACUCAUACCUUUGUCAAUUAAACCAAUCAACGAUUCUACAUUAUUACAGCUUGGGCCAAUUGUACAUAUGAUUUGUGUCUUCCUUUGGGUUACGUCAUUAUCUGCUAAAGGAGAGCAAAUUUUGUCCAUCCCUAAACAAGUUGCCUUUCCCAGUGUGCAACUCAUUACUGCAGAAGUAGAUGCGAGUCUUUUCAAAUGAUCGUUUGAAAUCAUCUUAGUGAAUUUUUUGAUUUAUUGAAAUUAAUAAAAAAUAAAUCAAAUGUUCUUAAUUAUCAAAGGAUCUAGAAAAAUUGGCGCUUCAUAUCUUAUCUAUGUUAUUUACUCCCCUUGUGGGGAGCAAAUAAUAAUACUAAGUCCUCUCAAUAGGGUUGAAUUUUUUAAUUGAGUUUAUUAUCCACAUGCAUAUAUAGACUAUGAUUUGAUGGAAAAUGGUGCGGUUGUAUUUAAACGUAAAUGUUAGUUACUUAUUUUCGCUCUUUUCAAAUCAUUGUUCUGUGCGGAUUUAGUGAAGAUAUUCUUUUUAGGUUUUGUGGGGUGCUUCAGUGCGUCUGGGAUUAUUGCGUAGCUCAGGUAUCCACUUUCAUUGUCGUGGCUCGAGUGCGAGUUUUUGGUAUUAAUUAUUAUAGGGCAUGGUAAAUUGUCGUAAUUUUUGUACCAUAAAACGCAUCCUACAUCUUUAAUAUCAAUUGAAUCUUCAAAUAAUUUAAAGGAUGUUUGAGCAGUGAGUUCGGUUAUUUCAAUUGAAUAAGGAACACUGUUUAGAUUUAUUGUGGUUAAUUCCUUCCGGAAUCUAAACGUAUUCUUUUCACAUGAAUCUAAUUGAACAACAGUUAUUCCACUUAAAUCUUCACAUUUUAUAAAAACUUUCUUCAGUGAAGAACUGAACUUUACUUCUAAGGGAAUUGACUAUAAGAAGUUAUAUUUAGCUCAAAAUUGAAUGUUACUUACCUCAAGGUUAAUCGAAUCUAUUUCAGUUCCGUAUAAAUAGUCCCAAAGCUUGAUUCUUUUAUCAAGAGAUGAACUAAUAAUUAAUUUAGAUGAUUCUUCAGCGAUUUUUACCUCACAUAGUGAUGAGAUUGCGCCACCGUGACCACAUAAUAUUGAAAGUGUAUUUUCUAAAUGUUUUAUAUUAGAAACCCAUAUUUUUCCACACUUAUUCCCAGUAAACAAAAGUUUGGAGUCGUGGCUGACUAUUGAACAUGUAACUGUUGAUAAAUGACCCAUUUUGGGGAUUAUACAAUCAGCCAUAUCGUUGUUUAGUAGUUCUUCACUAUCUGAGUGAUUAUCAAACGAGGGUAAAUUUCUACCAUUCUUAAUCGCUGAGUGAAUAGAAGAGGCAUUCAAUAAGUAUAAAUCACCAAAUUUAUCACCUAUAAUCACUUCGUUUGUAUCUGGUUUGAAUAUUGAAAUAUUUAACCUUUUUGAGUGUAUAAAUCGACCUAUUAAUUGAAAGCUAAAAUUGCAAAUCUUAAUUAUAUAAAUAACCUUAUUGCUACUACAAGCAGUGGCUGUACCAUCCAUUGAAAUAUUUACUGAAACUAAAGUAUCUUCUUCAUUACCUAGAGCAAUUUCUGAUUGUUGAUAAUCAACGAGAGAAAGUGAAAAUAACUUAUUCUUUUGAAACCAAAUAAGUUGGUCAUUAUAGUAGAAAAGAGAAUUGUUUCCGGA